rnacentral:rRNA from 1 species
AGUGAACGCUGGCGGUAGGCCUAACACAUGCAAGUCGAACGGCAGCACAGUAAGAGCUUGCUCUUACGGGUGGCGAGUGGCGGACGGGUGAGGAAUACAUCGGAAUCUACUUUUUCGUGGGGGAUAACGUAGGGAAACUUACGCUAAUACCGCAUACGACCUACGGGUGAAAGCAGGGGAUCUUCGGACCUUGCGCGAUUGAAUGAGCCGAUGUCGGAUUAGCUAGUUGGCGGGGUAAAGGCCCACCAAGGCGACGAUCCGUAGCUGGUCUGAGAGGAUGAUCAGCCACACGGGAACUGAGACACGGUCCAGACUCCGACGGGAGGCAGCAGUGGGGAAUAUUGGACAAUGGGCGCAAGCCUGAUCCAGCCAUACCGCGUGGGUGAAGAAGGCCUUCGGGUUGUAAAGCCCUUUUGUUGGGAAAGAAAAGCAGCAGGUUAAUACCCCGCUGUUCUGACGGUACCCAAAGAAUAAGCACCGGCUAACUUCGU